rnacentral:lncRNA from 1 species
AACUAUUACAUCUCUUUAAUAUUACAUGUCCACUCUAAGCUAUUACAGAUCUCUUUACUCUUCCUGUACUCUGCUGGACUGUCCCUGUACACUGUACACUGAACCUGCAAAACUGGGGUUAAGGGAGUGGGAUGAGCUCUAUAGCCCAGUGAGUAGAACAGUAAAACAUCUCAGUAAAAUAUGAUCUCAUGGAAUGCACCAUAUCACAGACAAGCCACAUCAAGAGUAAACCUGUCACCACAUAGUCCCAGUAACUCUGUGCCAGGGCGUAGAAUCGAGCACCUGGUCUUCCUGUCAUAUAUGUAUAUGUGUAUAUAACACCUCUGUACUUACCAUUGCCAGGGCGUAGUCAAAGGCUCCUGGACUUUGCUAUACCUGCCAGGGCGUAGUCAAAGGCUCCUAGACUUGCUAUACGUGCCAGGGCGUAGUCAAAGGCUCCUGGACUUCCUGUCUGAGACUAUUGGAUCAUUCAGCAUUCACUCACAUCACCAAAUCACAAUGCAAUGCAACAUAUUCGUGACUACUAAUGCAAUCAACCUAUGGCAUAAACAUGAUGCAUGAGAUAUGCUAAAAGCAGUUUGUGGUUCAAUUAAAAGUCAUAAGUUUAGUUCCACUCACCUCUGGCUAUCUGGACUGACUGACUUUGCAGGUUCUGAACCUCUGGAGCAGUACUCACUGCUGCUCUCUCUGGU